CAAUAGCGUAUAUUAAAGUUGUUGCGGUUAAAAAGCUCGUAGUUGGAUUUCUGCCGAGGACGACCGGUCCGCCCUCCGGGUGAGUAUCUGGUUUGGCCUGGGCAUCUUCUUGGAGAACGUAGCUGCACUUGACUGUGUGGUGCGGUGUCCAGGACUUUUACUUUGAGGAAAUUAGAGUGUUUCAAGCAGGCACACGCCUUGAAUACAUUAGCAUGGAAUAAUAAGAUAGGACCUCGGUUCUAUUUUGUUGGUUUCUAGAGCUGAGGUAAUGAUUAAUAGGGAUAGUUGGGGGCAUUCGUAUUUAACUGUCAGAGGUGAAAUUCUUGGAUUUGUCAAAGACGGACUACUGCGAAAGCAUUUGCCAAGGAUGUUUUCAUUGA
rnacentral:rRNA from 1 species